rnacentral:rRNA from 1 species
GAUGAACGCUGGCGGCGUGCUUAACACAUGCAAGUCGAACGGAAAGGCCAUUGCUUGCACUUGUUCUCGAGUGGCGAACGGGUGAGUAACACGUGGGCGAUCUGCUCUGCACUUUGGGAUAAGCUUGGGAAACUGGGCCUAAUAUCAGAUAGGACCAUGCUUUGGAUUGUGUGGUGGAAAGCUUUUUCGGUGUGGAAUUAGCUUGCGGCCUAUCCGCUUGUUGGUGGGGUCAUGGCCUACCAAGGCGUCGACGGGUAGCCGGCCUGAGAGGGUGUACGGCGAUAUUGGGACUGAGAGACGGCACAGGUGGCGACGGGAGGAAGAAGUGGGGAAGAUUGAACAAUGGGCGCAGGCCUGAUGAAGAGACGCCGCGUGGGGGAUGACGGCUUUCGGGUUGUAAAAUACUUUCGCAACUGACGAAGCUUUUUGUGACGGUAGGUUGAGAAGAAGCACCGGCUAACUACGUG